GAAAUGUGGAGGAGGUCCGUGGCCCUGGUGUUGUGGGCGAGUUUCCAGUGAUGACACCCGGUAAAGUUCACGAGUACGCCAGCUGCACCACGUUUUCCACCACCUCUGAGUACAUGGAAGGCCACUACACAUUCCACCGGCUCAAGAACAAAGAGGAAGUGUUUGACGCUUCAAUCCCACGCUUCCACAUGGUGUGCCCACCAUUCCGUGAAUCAAUGGUGCGGUCUAGCUCAGUCAGUGAGGUGUCUGC